GCAAGGUUAGAAUAUUUAAAAAACAUUGCGGGGUGAAGUUUGGCAGCUGAAUCCGUCCCUGACUUUCACCACGUCAGUGCUGUUAUUGCGCUAUGAUUUGUUGGGACCGCGGAAGGCGAAAUCGAUCUGUAUGUAGUACACUUCUAUAGCGUCUUUGAGAUCCAACGUUCAUCACAAUGCAAGUCAUUCACAUCUUUUGCCUUGUCCUUAUUUCACUCAUUGUUUGUGGUGAAAGCCAACCUUUCCGACUGAACGACGAGCUUGAAAAACGAGACGAGUUUGCCUUACUGUUAAGUGGGAACACCUGUUCCACGAAAUGCCAGGCCAAAUGCAACGGAAUAUGCUUCUUUAACACGAUGUCUUUUCGAAUGAAGUGUGUCUGCGCGAAACACUAAACCCGUGUUGGAAACGUCGUGGUUCAAAACCGUUAAAGGCGCAGACCCUAGUUUCAGCCCGUGAAAAUGGACACUACGUUUUGGUCAAUCUACGAACAUGUAGGCCUAACACAUCUGGAGACAGUUACAAUAGAGUGAAACACGAAUAUAUGUGAAAAAGUGGCUGUGAAACAAGGAAAUACCCUCUAAAAAACGACUAAAAUAGGCUAGAGCUCGUCUCCAUAACCGUUACUUCUCAGAGGUACGUGAGUUUCUUAGAACAAUAAAACAAAAAUGCAUUUCGUGGUAUUAUAAACACCAGAAUGACCAGAAACACUUUGGAUGUACGGAAAUGCAUAAUCAAAACAAAAUAACAUACAAAUAUUUAUAAUUGCACUUUCCCCAAAACAACUCCAAUAUGAAAAACAUACGCUCCACUGUUUAAAAACUAGGGUCUGUCGCUUUAAACAUAGUCUUGGGUUAAAAAUCAGGAUUAGUUUUAGAUGUAUUCCCAACUGUAUGAAAUCAAAUACACCGACAGAUCUAGAGGUGUUGUGUAUAGGGAUACAAAUAAACUACACAUCAUUU